AAGACUAUAGACCUGCGGAGUACCUGCGGAAGGAUCAUUAUAGAAAAAACAUAUUGAACCUGGAGGGGGGAGAGGGGGCGUGAGCUCUCUUUCUUCUUUCUGGGCAAACAACCAACACACAUGACUAGAAAGUGACAGACUGGAUUGGAUUGGGGGGGGGAUCUCGCAAGAGAGAAAAGUUCUUGUCUGAUAAAAUGUAGCUUGUUGAUUUGGAGUUACUACAAUCAAUACAACUUUUAG
rnacentral:misc_RNA from 1 species